AGCGUAGACGGCAAGGCAAGUCUGAUGUGAAAACCCAGGGCUUAACCCUAGGACUGCAUUGGAAACUGUCUGGCUUGAGUGCCGGAGAGGUAAGCGGAAUUCCUAGUGUAGCGGUGAAAUGCGUAGAUAUUAGGAAGAACACCAGUGGCGAAGGCGGCUUACUGGACGAUAACUGACGCUGAGGCUCGAAAGCGUGGGGAGCAAACA
rnacentral:rRNA from 1 species